GUCGGAGUGAGACCUCCUGCCGUCUUUAGCAUCUCCGCUCGGAGGCGGAAGCCGGAAGUGUAGUUUUGUUGUCAGCAACAGUUGCUGUUUGUGUGUUUAACGCUGUUAGUUUGUGUCCCUGUGAGUUCGGGUCUGGCUUCUGUCCUGAUCCGGUUUUAAACUCGGUGAACUUCAGUUUCUUCAGGGACUCUGAGGGUUGAACGGUCCGUCCGAGGACCCGGAUGAAGCAGGAGCGGGAAGUUUAAACCAGCUGAGCUUAGCACGCGGCUAACAGCUAGCUAACAGUCAAUAAAAGGACUUUAUCAGAACCGGAUCAACAGAACCGCCAGAAUGCGGCCUCAGCCGGGAUCCGGGUCCGACAGGCCGCCGGGUUCAUCCGCUGAACCCAGUCCGGAUCAGUCCUCCUGCAGCUCGGACACCGGGGACGUUUUAAUCCGCUCCACUCGGGCUCUCCUUUCGGGUCGGAGACCUGAAGCCGGACCAGGACCCGGAUCGGUCCAGAUAACCGUCCAGAAGCUGCCGGAACCUCCGAACCAGCGUCCUGUGGCCGAACAGAGGCCGCAGAGCUCCGGGACAGAGACGCAACAGCCGAAGCCCCGACACAAGCCGGACAAGGGGCUCCGUCUGCGGGCAGCAGCGCGCCCUGAGCCCGGUAAGAGCUCCGACACACGGACACUGAAGAACCCGGGACCUGCUGGACCUGCUGGACCUGCUGGACCUGCUGGACCGACCAAAGAGAACAGAGCGCCCGCAGGAAGACAGCCUCCUGCAGCCGAGUGGAGCCCAGACAGGAAGCUCUCGGCUGGAGCACCGAGCGACCGGCAGCCUGGUCACGACCUUCUGACGUCACGCUUUGCUGCAGGAGGUCGAGGAGUCGUGCUCGCCGCUCUGAAACAACGCUCUCACAGCGCCCCCCACAGGAGGGAGGUCAGAGUGCAGCUGUUGGACCCGGGGCCGCUCCGGACCAGCUCUCAGGAUGCUUCAGGUCCCACGCCCAGCUCCCAGGAUGCACUGGGUGUGACGGAUGUCCAGACGCAGGUGGGGCCGUCCUCUGGUUGCCCUGGAGACGCCACCAACGCCGCAGCAGCUGCUGCAGCUGCAGCUGUAACCGCUGCUGCUCCUCUCAUCAAGGCUCAGUCAGAGAUGGAGGCUCGUGUGUCUCACCUGGCUGCAGGUGUGCAGGAGCUGCUGCAGGCUGGCAGGGAGGGCGGGGACAGGGGGCGGAGCCUGAGUCAGCAGACGCUGCAUCACCUGGAGACGCUGCACAGCCAACAGCUGCAGCUGCAGAGCCAGCUGCUGGAGUCGGCCCUCAGGAUAGCGGCGGGCCACGCCCCUGUGGCGCCUGCGACCUCUGACCUCACGGCUUCAGGUCAGCCGCCCCGUCUGCAGGUCACUCACCUGGACGCUGCAGCAGAUGUCCUUAGCAACCAGCAGCAAAGCUCCUCGGCAACCACAGCCGCCGCCACCGAGGAGACGUACCCAGUUGCUAUGACAACUGCCCAGCAAACCAGAGAUGCACGGCAUUCCAGAGGUCCCGGCGUUUCCCCGGGACCCCAGCCAGCGGCGUCUGCCAAUCACAGUCAGGCGGUGGCGAGGAGAGCCAAUGAGAUGCUGAGGGAGAUGGGACGUUUGAAGAGCGAGAUGAAGAUGCUGCUGACGCAGCCAGAAGACUCUCUGAACACCACCAGACCUGGACCAGACCACAACCAAGCCCAACAAAACUUACUUCAGUCCCAGCAAUCCCACUCCCAACGCAACCAUCCCAAAUCCUUCCAGCCCAGGUCCCAACAAACUGAACCCCAGCAGUCCCAGACACAACCCAGGUCCCAGCAGUCCCAGACACAACCCAGGUCCCAGCAGUCCCACUAUCAAUCUAAACCAGUCCAGCUCCAUCAAAGCCCUUUCCAACAAACCCAGUCCCAGCAGUCCCAGUCCGUACUGGUCCAGAGGAGGCCUGUGGUUCCGUCUGUGUUGGAGGAGGCGGGUCAGGUUCUCCGUCAGGUUCGGAGACAGAAGAAGGUUCUGGAGGAGAACCUGGAGGCUCUGCUGAGAGCCAGAACCGGAGAGGUCCUGCACUGCCAGCUGGAGGCGCUGGCUGCUAACAGGGACGGGACCGAGGAGGUCCGGAUCAAGAAGACCGUGGACGCCUGGAUCAGCUCCUUAACCAAAGACAUCCAGGCUGAGCUGUCCUCAGAUGUUCCCUGCAGAGCUGCAGACUCUGUCAGACGCUCAGCCAGCAGAGACGCUGCGGUGACAUCACAGCAGAGGGCUGCUGGGAGCUCCGCCCACAGGGGCAGGGGGAGGCCAGUGAGCGCGCCCAGAGCAACAGGAAGUAAGACUGCGGCGGGACGAGGAGAAAGAGGACGGACAGCCGGACGCAGACAGGGGGCGGAGCCUGACAGAGACUCAGGUGGGCGGACAGACAGCGACCCUGCGAUGGACGGAGUGUCGUACCUGACUCGUCUGUACGGCAGAGCCCCGUAUGAAGGUCUGAGACGGACCCUGAAGAAGAGUCCGUACCUUCGCUUCAGCUCACCUGGCUCACCGCCCGGCAGGAAGUCCCGCCCCCGGCUGGUGGAGAGCGUCAGAGGUGUGAAGCUGAAGUCCUGUAAGACUCAGACGUGUUUGGCUCCUCCCCUCAGUCUGUCACCUGGACGACCUCAGCACCAUUACAUCAUCAGCUCCUCCCACCUGACCUCUGGUGACCCCGUUGACCUGACGGUGACCCCUGCAGACAGUCACUCUGUUCCCGUGGCGAUCCCACUGGGUCGUCGCAGGAUGGACUCUUCUUCCAGGCGCCUCACUGAACAUCAACAGGAAGUGACAUCACCACCCACAGCUCCUCCCACAACUAGUGCGGUUGCCGUGGAUGACAGAACAUCUGAGCUACAGUCACAAGAGGCGGAGCAGCUGGACGCAGGUGAGGCUCCUCCUCCGUCACACACUGUUGACAUCAUCGAGCGGAGGAGUGACGAAGAGGAGGACGAAGAGGAGGACGAAGAGGACGUCUUCCCUGGAGCCGACUUCCUGUCUGUCACUGAUGUUGUCCAGCAGGAGGAGGUGAGUGUGGUCGGGGAGGAGGCUGUGGAGUUGGAUGGAGGUCCGUCUCCCCCUCCGGUCCUGUAUCAGGGUCCGGUCUUCCCUCCCCAGGCCCGCUCUGCCCUCCCUGCCCAGGAUCAGGCCUCCGUCCUGGGCCUCGACCUGCGAAGAGACGCCCUGGAGAACCGGCUGGUGGAAUGGGUGGAGCAGCAGCUGAUGUCCAGGAUGAUCUCAGAGAUGUGCCGCCCCCCUCCAUCUGACCCCGCCCAGAACGACUCCACUGACCGAUCAGAGCCCGAGGAGCGAAGCGUCACCUCAGACAUCGUGGAGGCAGCAGGAGGUGCAGGUCUGCAGCUGUUUGUAGACUCCAACAUGUCGGUGGACUCGGCUCUGAUCCGGCAGCUGGUGAAUGAGGUUCUGACAGAGCACGUGGCCCGGAUGCUGGGACACAGAGACACACUGGAGACAGGACCAGCACCCGAACAGGAGCAGCCCAGACCAGGUCCAGGAGCCAAUCAGGAGGAGAAACUGGUACCACUGGUUCCUACACCGGUACCAACCCCUCCACCCAGCCUGACCCCGCCCAGCAGAGAGACUCUGCCACGCCUGACCACACCCCCUCCCUCUGAACCAACCAGCCUGCUGCACGAGGAGUCUCCUCAGCCAAUCACAGCAGCAGAGCCUGUGACCACGCCCACCUCCAGCCCAGAGCCCUCCCUCUCUCCAGGAAGUCCUCCUGCUGUUCAUCAGGCCCCGCCCCCUCUCAACUGGGGAGACGCUGAGCUGCCAUUGGACGAGGAGAGACCAGAGGAACACCUGGAUACACACGCACAGCCGCUGGUGAUGUCAGUAGCAGAGGAGGAGCCUCCUCCCUUCUCCCCUCUUCCUUGUCCUUCUCCCUCCGCCCCUGCUGCUCCCUCCCCGUCUCCUCCUCCUCCUCCGGGUCCGGCGUCCCCGUCCAGCUCCUCAGGGGACUCCAGCAGCUCCAGCAGCAGCAGCAGCAGCAGCAGCAGCAGCGCGGUGACGGCCGGGACAGAAGCUGCACUCAAACACAUCUCAGAGGGAGAACUGCUCAUCAGUGUCAACCAGCUGGCUGCCACCACAGAGGAGGCGGCGGUCUGCAGUUUCUCCAGCUCCCUCCAGGAGCUGCAGGAGAUGGACUUUGACCCCCCCAGUGAAGGACAGGUCAGAGGUCACGACCUCCUGCUGACCCUGCUGACCAAGAUGGAGCAGGGAGUCACACACAGAGGAGAGAGACCACAGCCGGAGGGCGCCUGGGGGAGGGAUCAGGAGGAGGAGGAGGAGGUCAGCGUGGGAGAGGUGAGAGACGAUCAGACUACAAAUCCCAACACUUACAGCAAGAGUACAGCAGCCCAGCGGGGUCAGACCUCCUCACCUGGACAGAUCAGUCAGUGUGCAGAUGUGUCUGAAGUCAGUUUUGAAGCGACGAAUCAGGGCUCGGUCACCGUGGGCGACCUGAUGGUGGAUCCAAUCGGGACUCUGACCUCUGACCUGCAGACCGACCUGUCGCUGUCUCCUCCCCCACACCUGGAGAACCCACACACUGCAGUCCUGGUCCGGCAGUACGACCCACAGACAGCUGGAACCAGGAUGGAUGUUCAUCUGCCCUCCAUCAGACCGGAGGAGGAGGAGGAGGAGGAGGUUAGCGCAGCAGCAGAUCCAGACUCCUCCACCAACGAUGUUUUCUAGAGGGAAACUGAGGCCAGACGUCCGUCCAUCAACAUCUUCGUCUUUAUUUGAUUCAGUUCUGAACUGGUUGAUGAGUUUCACAGCUGAGGAGAAAUUUAUCUUCAUCCUCCUCUUUAACAGCAAACACGUCUUUCUUUCCACUGAAGUCUGUUUGAUGAGGCUUCCUGUGACCUUUGACCUCUGUCCACCCGGUCAGCUGCCUGAAGCCUGAAUAAAUGGUUUUAAUAAACUUUGACCUUCUCUGACUUCUUCUGCUGUCUCCUUGCUGGUGGUGUUUCUCAGAGUCAGUGUUUCUGUAGCUUUUCUUCUCAGGAGAAACUUCACCACGUCCCUCCUGGAGGGGUUUUACUAACCGCUCUGCUCUCAUCGCUCCGACGCCGGCUGACUUCUGCAGGAGGGAAACAAACAGGUUUCAUCCUCGAUGAACGCGUUAGAAAUGAUGGAAAGGUAAAUGUAAACCAGACUUCUUACUUCUUUACCUGAAGAGGUCGUGUUGAGCUCAUUUUCAGGUUCCUCAUUUGAUUUGGAGCAGAGCAGGUUUACACCAGAUCUCUGCUGCAGCUCCUCUUUUCACUCUGCAUGUUGAAGCAUCUCACUUCUAGUAGAUCUUGGUUGGGAGCUACCCUUCACCGUCCGGAUGAGACGCCCUGUGUAGACCGAAAGCGCUAGGUAGCUAGCUAUGUUAGUGUAAAAGGCGUUGACAGCUUCCCAAAGCAGGCAGAUCUGCGGUGACCUCCUUUGACUGACAGAACCACUUCUGAGCAUGUGCAGAGCGGAUCAGGCCGGCGGUACGGAUUGGGCACUGACAGUUCCUCUCUCUGCCUCUCUGUGACUUCCUUUUCUGAUUAUCUGAUCAGCUGAGUUUACUGAUCAGGUCAGCAGCUGACAGUGAAUGUGGAGAGCGCCCUCUGCUGGACCACAAGGUAAACUACUUCAAACCCGUGUUCUGACUGGAAACACUUUAAUAUUAUAUUUUUCUCACGUUUGAACAAACCUUUGAAUAAAAAUUGGUGGCAGCCCUGCUGCAGACACUUAGUCCAUAAAUGUAGUUUUACUGUUUUCUGACAUUUUAUAAAUUAAACAAGUCACGUCUUUUUUUUGUUAAUUGAUAAUAAGUGAGCAGACCAGUGGUUCCCAAAGAGACUCGUCGUCAGCACGAGUCUGUCAGAUGCUUUGUGAUGUGAAGAGGAAACUCCUUUAACACUCAGUGUGUGUGUGUGUGUGUUAAUGGUGUUGAUUGACAGGUGGCCUCAGAGCGCUCUGCAGGCACUGACGAGGUCACACUAAACCCAAACACCGCUCUGAUUGACAGCCGUCAGUCACACUGAAGGGUCCUGUCUCAUUCACCUCAUUGCUGCUUUUAUUCCCCAACCAUCACUAAUCAAUACAUCAGGGACAAACCUCAUGAUCACACUCUGACAUCAUCACGUCUCUGUUUCUUCCAGAUGUGUCUCAAGUCAGUUUUGAAGAGACCAAUCAGGGCUCGGUUACCGUGGAUCCAGUCGGUACUCUGACCUCAGACCUGCAGACCGACCUGUCGCUGUCUCCUCCCCCACACCUGGAGAACACACACAUACUGCAGUCCUGGUCCGACAGUACGACCCAAAGACAGGUAGGGAGCUCACAGUUUGAAGUGGGGCUGAGGACCCGUCCACAUACUUUUGGCCACAUGGUGAGUGAAUGUUAAUCCUAGGCUGUCCACCAGAGGGCGCCGUGUCUGCAGCGUUCACUGUGAAACAGCUGUGCUGAGGACACACAGUCCUCUUCUGUCUGUCUCCCAGUCAGCUGUACUGGGUCCACUGGUCUGUCUUUGUGUUUUAUUCAGAUCAAUAACUGAUCAGAUCAAAUCAGCUGUUCCUACUGUAAACACUGCAGGAGGAGGAACAACGAGAGCUGAGUGUAGAGCAGGAAGCAUCAGCACACUGACUGCUGUUUAAUUAUACAUAGAAACACACAAACACACAGGAAGCUGCUGUCACUCUCUGAUUAGUAAUGUGCGGUUUUUAUUUCUACUUUUUCCCACAAACCGGGAGGAAAAUCCAAAAUACACAUAACCUGUAACAGAUAUUAAUAAAUAUACGACUAUGUUGCACUAUUAUUAUUUUCACUGUGGACUAAACUACCAACUCUUUCUGCAUUAACAGAUAAGAAUGUUCUAACAUGUUGAUGAUAAUCAGAUACAUAUAACAGGAGAUCGUCUGCAAACAAAUUUACGUGCUGCACGUUUUUAGCCAGCAGCUUCUGCAGCUGGACAGGUGAAAGGUGUCAGGUGACCACCCGGACCAGUUUUCACCACUGCAGAGUCCCAGGUUCUGGUUCUGUUCAUCAGGUGAUCACUGUGUGUUGAUCAGUUUCUGGGAUGAAGUCAGACAUGGCAGGUUUGAUGCUGAAUCAAGCUUUAUUCAAAAUGAACAUGCAGCACAAUAACAGGUCUUUGCUUUGACUUUU